AUCACUUCUCGGCCUUUUGGCUAAGAUCAAGUGUAGAAUCCAUACAUAAACAUGUUCAUAUAGAAAACAAUGUUGAAGUAUUCCUUCUGGAAAAUAAUGAAGGUUUAAAAUUUAAUGAUUAAUUGAAAUACUAGGCCCCUUUUG
rnacentral:snRNA from 1 species